rnacentral:lncRNA from 1 species
UGGGGUGCUUUUUAGUUUUCACACCACCCUCUGGAAACUCAAGAGACUGUUGUGUGUGAAAAUCCCAGGAGAUCUGCAGUUCCCGAGACAAUGUAACCCAAUCUGGCACCUACAAUCACUUCACGGUCUAAGUAACAUUUCUUGGCUAUUCUGAGGUUUGAACCUCUUAAACAGUCGCCAUUAAAAUUGACUGAUCAGACGUUUGUAUUAAGAAGCAGUGUGAAUGUAAAGCUAAUGAAGUGCUCGCUGAGUGUAUUUAGAGGAAAACUUAAGCUAACUGCAAUUUGAGAUUAAUUGUGUUAACUACAAAACGUCUACAGGUUAAUUGAGAUUAUUUUAAUCUUUAAUCUUUUUAAUUUUAGUCCUUAGUUUUAGUUAACCACGUUUUGAAUCAUCUCAUAUCAUGGCCAUCUUAAGUACCUGUUGAGUGUAACUGUUAAAAAAGUAAAAGAGAAAAAGUGAUAUACUGAAUUUCCAUUUUUUGCUCAAUUUUUCAGUUGAUAAUAUAAUUUGCAAUGAAAAAAAAUAAAUCUAAAAACUGGAAAAGGGCAAAAUAGAAGCAUUUUCUCAACUGGACUUUUAAACCCCACUAUAUUGUUCAACAAAGGGUGAACUCCAUCUGAGGCAGAUGCUGUCAGAAGUAAAAAUAAAAGAAAAACAAUAACAGCUAUCGACACCCGAAUCUUGCCGUCCUACUUUUUUUGCACUCCAGCUCAACGAGGCAUUUUUUGCUUUGAAGUGAGAACAAGCAACAUACUCUAUGAUGUGCUUGGCUGCCGUUUCAGAUACUUCAUCACUGUUGGGAUCGAUGACUUUCUUUUCUUCCGAUUCAGCUCUGGAGGCCACCUCUUCAUCAUCCUAAAAUGCGCAACAUUUCAGUGCAUCCCUUUCAUCAUUUCCUUCACCACUCACUUCUGCAAACUUCACAGCUCAAUACAAGUGACGGGUCAUAUUUUUAUGGAAAUGUUUUCAAUUACCGGACACACAGAGGAUGCAAUGUAAGGACAGCUUACCCAGGGUUCAUCUCGAGCCAGGCCUCUAACUGACUGGACUUGGGGGCAUCUGUCCCCUGCAGCACUUUCCCCGUCUCAGUCUGAAUGACUUUGACUGGCAGCUCACUCAUCUGCAAUUUAUUCAAGAACUAGACUGUAUGAUGUGCUGUAUGCUCAUUUUGGAAUGAAGUCAGCAAGACGAUGUAAAAAAAUAUUAUAAAGUACUGUAUAUGAUGCUGGAAACAGUGCUUCAUACCAUCAGUCUCCUCAUCCUCUCUUUCUCGAUUCUUUCUGUCUCUUUCUUUUGCUCUCUCUCUGUGUUGGUGUGCCAUGUUGCAAUGGCUUUAGACAGCUUUUGGAUUUUUCCAGAGAUGGAUCUGUGAUAUUCCUUGAAAUCUUUUGCAUGCUGCAGAAUGCUGUUGAGAUACUCCUACAACAAGAAGAGAAAAACACAGCAUGAAUCAAAGAGCAAAAUCUGGAGUUUGAUGUUGGCAAGAUGUUUGGAUUUUUUCAAACAAAGUGCAUAUGCUUAACAAGGCUGUAUUCAUUUUAUCAAUCCUAAUAUUGUAAAACACUGUUAUAAUUUAAAGUAACUGUGAUGCCAAAGCUGAAUUUUUC